UACAGAGGGUGCAAGCGUUGUUCGGAAUUAUUGGGCGUAAAGGGAGUGUAGGCGGUUUGAUAAGUCUUCUGUGAAAUCUACGGGCUUAGCCUGUAACGUGCAGAGGAAACUGUCAGGCUUGAGUGUCGGAGAGGAUAGGGGAAUUCCCGGUGGUAGAGGUGAAAUUCGAUAGAGAUCGGGAGGAACACCAGUGGCGGAAGGCGCCUAUCUGGCUGACAACUGACGCUGAGACUCGAAAGCAUGGGGAGCAAACAGG
rnacentral:rRNA from 1 species